rnacentral:rRNA from 1 species
UCUGGUUGAUCCUGCCAGUAGUCAUAUGCUUGUCUCAAAGAUUAAGCCAUGCAUGUCUAAGUACAAACCUUAAUACGGUGAAACCGCGAAUGGCUCAUUAAAUCAGCUAUGGUUCCUUAGAUCGUCUCAUCCUACUCGGAUAACUGUGGAAAAUCUAGAGCUAAUACGUGCUUACAAGCCCUGACCUCACGGGAGGGGCGCAUUUAUUAGAUCAAAACCAAUCGGGGCUUGCCCCGUCUGCUUGGUGACUCUGGAUAACUUUUGUGCUGAUCGCAUGGCCUCUGCGCUGGCGACGUAUCUUUCAAGUGUCUGCCCUAUCAACUUACGAUGGUAGGUGAUAUGCCUACCAUGGUUAUAACGGGUAACGGGGAAUCAGGGUUCGAUUCCGGAGAGGGAGCCUGAGAAACGGCUACCACAUCUAAGGAAGGCAGCAGGCGCGCAAAUUACCCACUCCCGGCACGGGGAGGUAGUGACGAAAAAUAACGAUACGGGACUCUUUUGAGGCCCCGUAAUUGGAAUGAGUACACUUUAAAUCCGUUAACAAGUAUCUAUUGGAGGGCAAGUCUGGUGCCAGCAGCCGCGGUAAUUCCAGCUCCAAUAGCGUAUAUUAAUGUUGCUGCAGUUAAAAAGCUCGUAGUUGGAUCUGAGGACUCGAAUUGGUGGUGCACCAUACGGUGUUACUGCCGAUUCGGCCUACCUAGUCGGUGCUCGCUCUUGGUGUUCUUAAUUGAAUGCCCUGAGUGCCCGGCAAGUUUACUUUGAAAAAAUUAGAGUGCUCAAAGCAGGCCAUUAGCCGGAAUACUUCAGCAUGGAAUAAUGGAAUAGGACUUCGGUUCUAUUUUGUUGGUUUUCGGAACCCGAGGUAAUGAUUAAGAGAGACAGACGGGGGCAUUCGUACUGCGGUGUUAGAGGUGAAAUUCUUGGAUCGCCGCAAGACGAACAACUGCGAAAGCAUUUGCCAAGAAUGUUUUCAUUAAUCAAGAACGAAAGUCAGAGGUUCGAAGACGAUCAGAUACCGUCCUAGUUCUGACCAUAAACGAUGCCAACUGGCGAUCCGAGAUCGUUUGCUUAUUGACCUCUCGGGCAGCCUCCGGGAAACCAAAGUUUUUAGGUUCCGGGGGAAGUAUGGUUGCAAAGCUGGAACUGUUCAAUUGCAACUCUGCCUGUGACACCAAGUGGUCGGGUUACUUGGUCUGUUCUGGCCCGGAGUCGGUAGGGUUUCCGGCCUUGUGCUCUUUCCUUACUGUUCUCUGUAACGCCGAAGGCGGGGCUUCCACGGUGGGGAAGCGGUUGUACAAAUCCGGCAAAUCCAGCCAAAUGGGUUCCGGACUCUGUCCAACCUGCAACUGGUAACAGCCUCGGCUGGCUAACAUUUGAGCUGGGACUCGCUUGGGAGGAGCGAGGAUAAUAUAAACCUCUAUGUGACUGAGGUGAGGAAUCUGGUUCUCGUAAAAUGGCUGGAGAUCCCGAGCCUGUAAGUCAUAAAUUAGUUCCCCACGAGGGGAGGUGUCGAAUUGAAGCCAGUGCGUGCCCUUACUAGUUUAAGGGAUUGUAUACUUCCUUUGGUGUACCCACCUGGAAGUGCCCAAGGGGUCCUAUCCCUGCACU